rnacentral:rRNA from 1 species
AGGGGCGAAAGACUAAUCGAACCAUCAAGUAGCUGGUUCCCUCCGAAGUUUCCCUCAGGAUAGCUGGAACUUAUGAGAAAGUAGUUUUAUCAGGUAAAGCGAAUGAUUAGAGGCUUUGGGGAAGAAACUUCCUCGACCUAUUCUCAAACUUUAAAUAGGUAAGAUUUGAAGGAUACUUAAGUGAUCUUUCAAUCUCUUGAAUAUAAAGUUCUUAGUGGGCCAUUUUUGGUAAGCAGAACUGGCGAUGUGGGAUGAACCGAACGUUAAGUUAAAGUGCCAAAUAAUACGCUCAUGAGAUACCAUAAAAGGUGUUGGUUCAUUUUGACAGCAGGACGGUGGCCAUGGAAGUCGGAACCCGCUAAGGAGUGUGUAACAACUCACCUGCCGAAUGAACUAGCCCUGAAAAUGGAUGGCGCUUAAGCGUACAACUUAUACUUAACCCUUACUUGAAUUAUUAUAGCGAGUAAGGAGUAGGAGGG